rfam:Hordeum vulgare subsp. vulgare, WGS project CAJW01000000 data, contig: morex_contig_55661
AAACUACUCCGUCCGUCCGGAAUUACUUGUCGCACAAAUAUAUAAAAAUGAAUGUAUCUAGAACUAAAAUAUAUCUAGAUACAUACAUUCCUAUGCCAAGUAUUUUCGGAUGGAGGGAGUACUAU